AGUGAACGCUGGCGGUAGGCCUAACACAUGCAAGUCGAACGGCAGCACUGUUAGUGCUUGCUCUUACGGGUUGCGAGUGGCGGACGGGUGAGGAAUACAUCGUACUCUACUUUUUCGUGGGGGCUAACGUAGCUAAACUUACGCUAAUACCGCAUACGACCUACGGUUGAAUGCAGGGGAUCUUCGGACCUUGCGCGAUUGACUGAGCCUAUGUCGUAUUUGCUAGUUGGCGGGGUAAAGGCCCACCAAGGCGACGAUCCGUAGCUGGUCUGAGAGGAUGAUCAGCCACACUGGAAGUGGGACAGGGUCAAGACGACUAAGGGAGGCAGCAGUGGGGAAUAGGGGACAAUGGGGGCAAGCAUGAUACAGCGAGAGCGAGUGGGAGAAGAAGGCGUUGGGGUUGGAAAGACGGUUUGUUGGGAAAGAAAAGCAGCAGGUUAAGACGACGCUGAAGUGACGGUACCCAAAGAAUAAGCACCGGCUAACUUCGUG
rnacentral:rRNA from 1 species